CAACCCUCGAGCCCGUCUUCAUUGACGGGAUCGGUGUUGGGACCCGGCGAGCGAGGACGUAGUCCUCUGCCGGCCCCGAAAUUCAGUGGCGGCCCGUUGCGGCGACCUCUGCGUAGUAACUCAACCUCGCACUGGGACAGCAUCGCGGCCACGCCGUAAAACCCCCGACUUUUUUAA
rnacentral:misc_RNA from 1 species